UACUUUUAACUUUUUCUGAUAUGCAAUGAGCGUCUCCCACCGCUUGCUUCUUUCCUAGUGUUGUGUACCCAGCAGACUCUUUUUGACCCCUGUACCUUUUAACUAGCCAUAGACUUCCCUUUAGUCAGGGGAUGUUUAAUUCAUUGUCUGCAAAGCUCCCUCUGGGUUAAGAAUUAUCUCCAUUACUUACACACAUUAAGCUGUCCCAACAUUACAUCUAAACCAUGAAUGUCUUCAAAAUAUGCAAAGAUGCUAAUCCUUUACUUAUAACUGUAUUUAUCCCUAUUCCAUACUGUAAUAACUCCAAUACUAUAAAAUACCCCACUGAAAAAAUGGUUUACAGGGUUGGGUUUGCAAUUGUUCUGUUUCUAUACUAGGUACGUAAUGUUGGUCUUGUAAAACAUGUUACUGUAUAAUAAAACACUUUUUUAUUACACAAUUUCUCCUUUUUGUUAAAUUAAACUAGUAUAUAUGCCA